rnacentral:rRNA from 1 species
AUUGAACGCUGGCGGCAGGCUUAACACAUGCAAGUCGAACGAGCGGCGGACGGGUGAGUCAUGUAUGGGGAUCUGCCUGAUGGAGGGGGAUAACUACUGGAAACGGUAGCUAAUACCGCAUACCAUCAGAUGUGCCCAGAUGGGAUUAGCUAGUAGGUGGGGUAAUGGCUCACCUAGGCGACGAUCCCUAGCUGGUCUGAGAGGGUGACCAGCAACACUGGAACGGAGACACGGUCCAGCCUCCUACGGGGGGCAGCAGUGGGGAAUAUUGGACAAUGGGGGAAAGCCGGAUACGGCAAGGCCGGGUAUGGGAAGAAGGCCUUCGGGUUGUAAAGCACUUUCAGCGAGGAGGCGGUACUCGCAGAAGAAGCACCGGCUAACUCCGUGCCAGCAGCCGCGGUAAUAC